UACGUAGGGCGCAAGCGUUACCCCGGAAUUAUUGGGCGUAAAGAGCUCGUAGGCGGUUUGUCGCGUCUGCUGUGAAAUCCCGGGGCUUAACCCCGGGCGUGCAGUGGAUACGGGGCAGACUAGAGUGCGGUAGGGGAGAUUGGAAUUCCUGGUGUAGCGGUGGAAUGCGCAGAUAUCAGGAGGAACACCGGUGGCGAAGGCGGUUCUCUGGGCAUGUCCUGACGCUGAGGAGCGAAAGUGUGGGGGAGCGAACAGG
rnacentral:rRNA from 1 species